rnacentral:lncRNA from 10 species
GUUCGGCUCUCAAAUGGAGGGUAUGGCUACGUUGAAGACAGCUGGGGCUGCCGCACGCCUCGGGGUUACUGUCGGGCACCCGGCGGGCGGGGCCGGCGCUGGGGCGGGGGAGGGCUUCCUCGCCCUCAGAAACCACAUUCGCAGAAACGUUUUUAACUGGCAAGGUUUCGAGUUCCCAACCACAGCACCCUCAGUGAUGGUUUUCAGAAGACCUUGUUAGCUCCUCUCCUCCAGAGACCCAUCCUUCGCUGACAUCCCACCGAUUUGGGAGCAGGAAAAAACAGACUCCUGCAAAAUACCUCUUCUUCCAGUGCCCUGUACCCCUCUCUACUUACUUCGAGUCCCUGCAGUCCAGCAACAACCCCAAACGAGUGAAGGGAGGAGACAUAGGUUUGUCCAGGCUCUGCCACCGACGGGUGAUUUGGGAUGAGUCCUUCUCCAGUAUCAUUAUCUUCAACUGUAAAACAUGAGGGUUAGUCCGAAUGAUCUCCAAACGCUUCAGCAUUAAAGUUAGGUGAUGAAUCCUAAGAUUUUGCAGUUCUAUAAUGUCACAUCUCCUCCGUUUCAGAGAGGGCCCGCAGGGAAUCUUGUUAAGGAUAACUGCCAUCGAAGUUACAAGUUUGUUCUGUGAUUGAAGAGUUUCAGGUCUUCUAGAUUUCUUUGGCAUGACGCAUAACUAUUUCAAGAUACUAACAUUUGGGCAGGGCGUGGUGGCUCAGGCCUGUAGUCCUAACACUUUGGGGGGCCGAGGCGGGCAGAUCACCUGAGGGUAGGAGUUAGAGACCAGUCUGGCCAACAUGGUGAAACCCCGUCUCUACUAAAAAUACAAAAAUUAGCCGGGCGUGGCGGUACAUGCCUGUAAUCCCAGCUACUCAGGAGGCUAAGGCAGAAGAAUCGCUUGAAUCCAGGAGGCGGAGGUUGCAGUGAGCUGAGAUCACGCCACUGCACCCCAGCCUGGGCAACAGAGGGAGACUCCUUCUGAAAAAAAAAAAAAAAAAAAGAUACUAACAUUUAAGGUUAAGAAUGUAGGUCAUUUCCCCAGAGGACUAACAGACUCGAGGGCACACACCCCAAAUUUUAUUUCUUUGACUCUGUCAUUGCCCCCAGAACAGUAUAUAAUGUAGC